AGGACGAACGCUGGCGGCGCGCUUAACACAUGCAGGUCGAGCGAGAACCUGGCCUUCGGGCCUGGGGAAAGCGGCGAACGGGUGAGUAACACGUGGGUAACCCACCCUUGGUACCGGGAUAGCCCGAGGAAACUCGGAUUAAUACCGGAUGGCCCAACAGCUCUUCGGGGCGGUUGGAAAAGGUAGCUUCGGCCUCCGACCAAGGACGGGCCCGCGGCGGAUUAGCUUGUUGGUGAGGUAAAGGCUCACCAAGGCGACGAUCCGUAGCUGGUCUGAGAGGACGAUCAGCCACACUGGGACUGAGACACGGCCCAGACUCCUACGGGAGGCAGCAGUAGGGAAUCUUGCGCAAUGGGCGAAAGCCUGACGCAGCGACGCCGCGUGAGGGAAGAAGGCCUUCGGGUUGUAAACCUCUUUCAGGAGGGACGAAGCCACUCGGGUUAAUAGCCCAGAGGGUGACGGUACCUCCAGAAGAACGCCCCGGCUAACUACGUGCCAGCAGCCGC
rnacentral:rRNA from 1 species